ensembl:lncRNA
GACAUUUUACUGCAAGAACUUUAUUGCACUACGCUCAAGUGCUGAACCAAGUCUGUGCUACUGGACACUGGUCACACACCCCCCUUUGUGUCUACACUCUAUGACAGUCUGCACUUUCCACUAUUUUCCUCAAUUAAGGCUGCAGAAUCAUAGUAUAAGAUACUUAGUAUGUUAAAAGUCAAGAGUAAAACUAGGGCGAAGAAUGCAAAGUUAUACAUAUAGCAUGUAAAAAUUGAUUUUAUUGUUCUUCAGAAGGGCUUGGGGUUUGGUUUUUAAUCCAGCUCAACAUCUUCCCCUCCAACCUGACUUCCACCAUCUGCCAACCCAGCUCUAACUACCGGUAUUUCAUUUUACUAAAAACAUCCAUUUUACUUUGCAGAAACAGUUAGAACAUUAGGUUUCUAGUUUGCAAGGGGAGGGUAAAGCCCAUUUCAGCAUCAUCUACCUUCCACGUGGACUCAAACACGACCAGAUACGUUAUUUCCCUAAUGAAGGCAUCGACAUCACAAACGCUUUUGUGUCUCCUUUAUCUAUUAAUCAGAAACGUUACACAUCUUAAAAGGAGGAAGGAACUCGGUACACCAACCACAGCUUGACUCAGGGUCAGAGCAAGCUCUGUGGAGCGUGUUUUCUAGCCAUGGACCUCAAACAGGUCUGUCAGCAGCUCUGUGAAGGGAGGGGCUUCACAAGUGCCAUUAUUUUUAGCUCAAAUUUAUAAAUCCAGGAAAAGAAUUCUAAAAGGCCAUUACCUGUGUUCUGAAAACAUCUGCCCAGUUAAGCUGCAGACUAAAAGAAGUCUGGAACAGGAAGAAAUCCUGUGAAGCAGCUCACAUCACCCGCGGCUGAAGCAUAGGUAGAGAGAGACAGGUAUCAAUCUACAACUACCACAGAUCCAGACCAACAAGAGCUUUUGGUGCUCCACAGCAGAAGAUCACAGCAGAGUAGGACACUAAACCUGUAUUCAGAGCCCUCAAUGGCUCAGUAUUACAGAUAUAAUGUCAAGUUCAAAGCAUAUGAGGUCACUUCUGGGGCAGGGCACAAAGUUAACAUGUUUGGUAGAAGUAGCCUGGCUGAAACUGCUUAUUAGAGGCUGUAACAUGACUUGUCUUGAUUAAUUCACUGACACCACCAAUGGCCUACGAACGGAACAUGGUGCCAGUUCACACUCCGAAAACGAGCGUGGCUCUGGCCUGCCAAUGGUGAAUGAGGCAUGUUAAUGUGUAGCUAGAGAUUCUCCCUCCAGAAGAGCCUAACAAAAAAACAACAAGGCAAUCAGUGGCUAAAUGGAGCUGUACAUGAGGGCUAAGUCUGGGAAAAAACCCAUACAAGGCAUUUAUUCAUGGACCACCUUUCUAUGUGCAUCCCACCUUUACCUCAGAUGUGAUACAAAUGAGACCCUCCCCCAAACCCC